UCGACGGUGAGAGAUGAAAGCUGGGGGAGCAAACCGGAUUAGAUACCCGGGUAGUCCCAGCUGUAAACUAUGCAAACUCAGUGAUGCAUUGGCUUGUGGCCAAUGCAGUGCUGCAGGGAAGCCGUUAAGUUUGCCGUCUGGGAAGUACGUACGCAAGUAUGAAACUUAAAGGAAUUGGCGGGGGAGCACCACAAGGGGUGAAGCCUGCGGUUCAAUUGGAGUCAACGCCAGAAAUCUUACCCGGAGAGACAGCAGAAUGAAGGUCAAGCUGAAGACUUUACCAGACAAGCUGAGAGGUGGUGCAUGGCCGUCGCCAGCUCGUGCCGUGAGAUGUCCUGUUAAGUCAGGUAACGAGCGAGAUCCCUGCCUCUAGUUGCCACCAUUACUCUCAGGAGUAGUGGGGCGAAUUAGCGGGACCGCCGCAGUUAAUGCGGAGGAAGGAAGGGGCCACGGCAGGUCAGUAUGCCCCGAAACUCUGGGGCCACACGCGGGCUGCAAUGGUAACGACAAUUGGUUUCGAAUCCGAAAGGAUGAGGUAAUCCUCAAACGUUACCACAGUUAUGACUGAGGGCUGCAACUCGCCCUCACGAAUAUGGAAUCCCUAGUAACUGCGUGUCAUUAUCGCGCGGUGAAUACGUCCCUGCUCCUUGCACACACCGCCCGU
rnacentral:rRNA from 1 species